rnacentral:rRNA from 1 species
GGUCAGCGACUUAUAUUCUGUAGCAAGGUUAACCGAAUAGGGGAGCCGGAGGGAAACCGAGUCUUAAUUGGGCGUUAAGUUGCAGGGUAUAGACCCGAAACCCGGUGAUCUAGCCAUGGGCAGGUUGAAGGUUGGGUAACACUAACUGGAGGACCGAACCGACUAAUGUUGAAAAAUUAGCGGAUGACCUGUGGCUGGGGGUGAAAGGCCAAUCAAACCGGGAGAUAGCUGGUUCUCCCCGAAAGCUAUUUAGGUAGCGCCUCGUGAAUUCAUCUCCGGGGGUAGAGCACUGUUUCGGCUAGGGGGCCAUCCCGGCUUACCAACCCGAUGCAAACUGCGAAUACCGGAGAAUGUUAUCACGGGAGACACACGGCGGGUGCUAACGUCCGUCGUGAAGAGGGAAACAACCCAGACCGCCAGCUAAGGUCCCAAAGUCAUGGUUAAGUGGGAAACGAUGUGGGAAGGCCCAGACAGCCAGGAUGUUGGCUUAGAAGCAGCCAUCAUUUAAAGAAAGCGUAAUAGCUCACUGGUCGAGUCGGCCUGCGCGGAAGAUGUAACGGGGCUAAACCAUGCACCGAAGCUGCGGCAGCGACGCUGAUGCGUUGUUGGGUAGGGGAGCGUUCUGUAAGCCUGUG